UGGUUCUGGCAUCGAUGAAGAACGCAGCGAAAUGCGAUAAGUAAUGUGAAUUGCAGAAUUCAGUGAAUCAUCGAAUCUUUGAACGCACAUUGCGCCCUCUGGUAUUCCGGGGGGCAUGCCUGUUCGAGCGUCAUUUCAACCCUCAAGCCUGGCUUGGUGUUGGGGCACUGCCUGUAAAAGGGCAGGCCCUGAAAUAUAGUGGCGAGCUCGCCAGGACUCCGAGCGUAGUAGUUAAACCCUCGCUUUGGAAGGCCUGGCGGUGCCCUGCCGUUAAACCCCAACUUUUGAAAAUUUGACCUCGGAUCAGGUAGGAAUACCCGCUGA
rnacentral:misc_RNA from 1 species